rnacentral:SRP_RNA from 10 species
GGGAACCAUGUGCUGCCUAUAGUUCAGCUACUUGAGACACUGAGGCAAGAGAAUUGCUUGAGCCCAGGGGUUCUGGGCUGUACUGCACCAUGUCCAUUGGGUGUCCAAACUAAGUUUGGUGUCAGUACGGUGACCUCCUGAGAAUGGGGAACCACCAGGUUGGCCUAAGGAGGAGUGAACAGGAUCAGGUCAGAAAUGGAGCAGAUCAAAACUCCCAUGCUGAUCAGUAGUGGGAUCAUGCCGGUGAAUAGCCAAAAAAUACACACACACACACACACACACACACAC